GAAACAAAAAAACAUAGUAGCCAAACUGUUAAAUGCAAUUGUGAGUGUUUUUUACCAAUAAUAUAUGUACAAAGAUGACAUCGACAGCUACUAAAAGAAGCCGUGCCACACCCGAGCAGCUAAAUCGUCUGCUUGACUACCUAAUGGCACAGCCUCCAUGGGAAGUUCGAGUGCGACAAAAAGUGGAGCGAGCUAGCAACAAAAUUAAAUAGUCUGGGUGGAGCAGUGAAGACAGUGAAUCAAUGGCAAACGGUAUGGCGGGACUUAAAAAGCCGCACCAGCAUUAAAGCACGAAAUCGGCGAAGGCAACAAGCUUUAACUGGAAACAGG